rnacentral:rRNA from 1 species
GACGAACGCUGGCGGCGUGCUUAACACAUGCAAGUCGAACGGAAAGGCCCUGCUUUUGUGGGGUGCUCGAGUGGCGAACGGGUGAGUAACACGUGAGUAACCUGCCCUUGACUUUGGGAUAACUUCAGGAAACUGGGGCUAAUACCGGAUAGGAGCUCCUGCUGCAUGGUGGGGGUUGGAAAGUUUCGGCGGUUGGGGAUGGACUCGCGGCUUAUCAGCUUGUUUGUGGGGUAGUGGCUUACCAAGGCUUUGACGGGUAGCCGGCCUGAGAGGGUGACCGGCCACAUUGGGACUGAGAUACGGCCCAGUCUCCUACGGGAGGCAGCAGUGGGGAAUAUUGCACAAUGGGCGGAAGCCUGAGGCAGCAACGCCGCGUGCGGGAUGACGGCCUUCGGGUUGUAAACCGCUUUCGCCUGUGACGAAGCGUGAGUGACGGUAAUGGGUAAAGAAGCACCGGCUAACUACGUG